GGGCUCCCGUGAGGGAUGGGGACGGCUCGGGGAUGGUUUGGGGAGCGCGGCUCCUGGCGGCGGGGGACGGAGCUCCCGUGAGGGGACGGCGGGGCGAGCGCUUUCCUUCCGAGACCGCAGUCCUCUCCGUACGGGUUACGCGCCCCUCCGCGCUCUCCGGCGGAGCCGGUGCUCGGGGACCCCGCGCAGCCCAGCCGAGCGCAGCCCUGCCCGUGUCAUGAGAGCCUGUGGAAGCUGCUGCAGCGGCAAAGCCGCCCGCCAGAAACCCCCUGCUCGCUUGAGUGAGGAGGGCAUGAGGAGGAGCAGCUCUCCCGUUAGCGCGGGCGGGAAAGGACAAUCUCAAAAAAGGCUUCAGCCAGCGAGGGGGAAUUGACGGCGUGGUUUGGGUGGGUUUUUUUUCCGUCCAAAGCCCCGCCAGGCAUCGUGCCGCCUUUUAGGCAGGCGUGUGCUGCGGGCGCGGCGGGAGGCCGGGUGGCUCGGCAGAUAGGGGGGCUCGGAGCUGGCGAUGGCACCGCCCCGCGGUGCGGCGGGCAGCACCGGGGUGGGUGAGCGGUGAGCCAGGGCUGGGAAGGGUCGAGCUGUGAUGGGUCAUGAGAACAGGGAUGCCUUCAGGGAAAGAGCAUGGAAUGCAGUCUGAGUGGAGCACUGACCCUCUUCAUCUCCUUCGUAUCAUCGCAGUGAUGGGCGUUCUUUUUUCCAUCACUCAGUCGUGUGAAACAGUCACGCUGGUGGACGGGAUCACACCUUUUUUUAUAUAUUUUUCUCCUUUUUUUUGUAUAUAGUCACAAUGGGAAUGUAGAAUAAAAUAGCAGUGAGGAGAAUCCUUUUGAAGGACACAGAGGUUGAGGCAAUCCCAGCCCCCACUGUGCUUUCUCAGUUUAUUUUUGUUUGCAAGGAAGCGAAGGUGCUCCCGGAGAUCAGUGGCAACCCAAGCGGGGAGGCCAAGCAGCAAAGCUCAGUGCAAAGGGAUCCACUCGAGCUACCAACUCUGAGUCAUGCAGCUGCUAUUAAUACACCUCACCCUCUGGCUGUCUGAUAAAGAGAGGCUGGGGGAAGAACUAUGAGGAAUUUUCAAUUUAAAGCUGCUUCAAGAAGAAUAAAAAGAACAUUCUGUGGUGAAGUUGAGAUGGGGAAGAGAAGGAAAGCAGCCUGGCAAAGAGGGAAUAAUCUCCCAGAGAAUAUGUGGGAGCCUCACUGACUAAAUAUUUUAAAAAUUUUUAACAAAAUUUAAAGAACAUUCUGAUAAGGUAAAUGACCACAUAAUACAAACUGUUAUAAAAUUAAAUAUUGAUAGAAGUUUGAACAUAAUUACUUUUUAAGGAGACAUUUAGUUUAAUUUGGUGACAUUUUUAUUCAUUUUGUUGACUAUUUCAAUCCAGCAUUUAUCUUAAGUCUUCAUCACAGAAUCUGAACAUCUCAGUCCAUUAAAGGUAAGUUUAAUUUCCUCACAUGGGCUAAAAUUUCACUUCCAGCUUUGUCUGUGCUGUUUUGCUCCAACGAAGAAGUGACAGUGGCUGAUUCCUUUUUGUCUCUUGUUCUUCAUUGUGAAGAACAUUCUCGUGUGAAACAGUAUCUUGCAGUACAUUAAACUUCUAAGGCAUCUUGCAGUGUCUGCAGAUACACAGUUUCACGGAUCAGCCACCGUUUGUGUGCAUUGUACUGUUCCCCCUUCAGAUGGCCUUUACCUGCCGGUCAGAGCAAGGCAAAUGAAACAAACAAACAAAAUGCAGAAAAACAAACCCUGUUUCAUUCAGCCACUUAAAUAAAUUGGCUAUGAUUCACUGCAGUGCACAGAUAAAACGUGUUUACUUUAGUUGACCGAAUUAAAGGCUUGCUUUCUUCUCAAAUAGUCCGUUCUGAACUGGCUCAAAUGUAGGAUUAUUGCACUAGGGCUCAGUUUCAUUACUGGUGUUGAUAGCAUGUGGAAGCCAGUUCCUUUCAGUUUAUGCAUUAUCACUGCAGGAUAUGCUCUAUCUCUUAUCCUGUUACAUGAAGAAUAUUAUUGCUCAGAAAUGUCAAGGUAAAUAAUAGUCUUAUCUUCCUUGUCAACAGUAUAAUGUGGUUUUCUUCUCACCUUGCUUCCUUAACAAGGUGUAAAAUUGCAGUUUGUCUGAUAAAGCAGGGCAGUAAAAACAGAAGUGUAGUUAGAGAUCAUAUUCUUUGUAGCCAUGAAACUGAAACUACAGAAAGAACUACAGGCAAUAAAGAGAGCUUUCAGAUACCCCUAUCAACUUAAAUUACACAGUUCUUUAAGAGGUAGGUUAUAAAGAUAAAGCUACUGAUAAGAAUGCCCUAAGUGCAAGACAUAAAAGUUUCUCUUUCAGCAGUAAUGCCAAAACCCAGCUCUUCAUUAAAAAACAGAUUUUAAACUUCUAUUGCCUCAUCUGAGCAAUCAAUCCUAGAAUCCUUUUAGAAAGUAAUGUUUUUUGGGCCAAGGUUUCUCUUCUUCAGUGCACCUGCAAAAGCAUAAAGCAUCAGUCAGUGAAUACUCAUUUGUGUGUUAGAAUCUACUUUUAUUAAAGCCAAAUGUACAGUUCGAGGGGCAUUUACUAGCAAAGGCAUUUUGGAAAGGAGAACUAAAAAAAAAAAAACACCAUGAGAAAUUUCUGAUUUUCUUUUUUUAUUUUCAAACAAUGUGCAAAACACCUUGACCUUACCUAAUUCAAUUAUGAUUUAUGCCAGCAGCCUGGACAGAAGUGUAGUGCUGCCCAUGCCAUGCCCCUAACGUGAAGAGUUAUACACGGACUCAGCCUCCACGCCUGGAAGGCAGCCAUUCUGGGCCAAGAUCCUGCACUUGGGCAGCACCUCCAGAAUGCUCAGCUCCAGUGAAGAAGUCCAGGAGUCCAUGUCCAGGAUAAUCCCCUGCACGAGUGUUGGAAUGAGGGAGGACAGACCUAGUGUACCAAAAGCCAUAUGGAAGGGGGAUGCUCCCUCUUCAGAGACACUCAGUGGACAGAAAGGAUAAAUCAGCACCUGAAAGCCUGGACAAAACACCUGGACAACAGUGGGCAGGGUAAUCUACUGCAGUGUUGGCAGCUGGCUCUGUCCUUCACCCAUUGAUUUGAUCACCCGGCUGAGGAGACAGCCUCUAUUAUUGACUGUGAAGCCUGGCUGGCCAGCACACACCUUUCCCAUGGAAAAUCCAAAGGGUUUUUUGAAAAGCUUUGUCCAGCAGCCCAAUCAAUUCCUGCCAGUGUAAGAUUUAAGAACAUUGUUUCUCUUGCUGACUGUGCUCACCAGAAGCCUAAGACCCAGGUGAGCAAGAAGCCCAAAGGCUUUAUCACUGAUGGGCUGUCACAUGUGGUGACUUCUUCCACCAAUAGAUUUUUGGCUUUUCCCUGGUAUUUAGUCUCUGGUACUACAGCAAACAUACCAUAGUGGUGUCCACCUAUCACAGAGUCAAAUCUUAAUGCACAGGGAGUAGCAGAAUCACUUGUAGAAGACUGUGUUUAUUUAAGUGCCAAAUAUGGAUCUCAGCAAUCAGCAAUUCAUUCUAAGUGAAUCAGUAUUCAUAUCACUUGGCAAUAAUUUGCUCAUUACAAAGUGUGUAUUAUGCAGCACUUACAUUCCAUCUAUUAUUUCAAUCACCUUUAUAAUGUUAUGAUUUUUUUUUUGUUUUUUGCAACUCGGUAAUUGCACAAGAGACAGGUUAACAAAUAAAGCUGCUUGCAGUUAA